GGAAUGCGCAGCUACACAUGCAGUCGAGCGGUAGAGAGGUGCUUGCACCUCUUGAGAGCGGCGGACGGGUGAGUAAUGCCUAGGAAUCUGCCUGGUAGUGGGGGAUAACGCUCGGAAACGGACGCUAAUACCGCAUACGUCCUACGGGAGAAAGCAGGGGACCUUCGGGCCUUGCGCUAUCAGAUGAGCCUAGGUCGGAUUAGCUAGUUGGUGAGGUAAUGGCUCACCAAGGCGACGAUCCGUAACUGGUCUGAGAGGAUGAUCAGUCACACUGGAACUGAGACACGGUCCAGACUCCUACGGGAGGCAGCAGUGGGGAAUAUUGGACAAUGGGCGAAAGCCUGAUCCAGCCAUGCCGCGUGUGUGAAGAAGGUCUUCGGAUUGUAAAGCACUUUAAGUUGGGAGGAAGGGCAUUAACCUUAUACUUUCGCGUC
rnacentral:rRNA from 1 species